AUUGAACGCUGGCGGCAGGCUUAACACAUGCAAGUCGAGCGGGGUGAUGGUGCUUGCACUAUCACUUAGCGGCGGACGGGUGAGUAAUGCUUAGGAAUCUGCCUAUUAGGGGGGGACAACAUCUCGAAAGGGAUGCUACUACCGCAUACGUCCUACGGGAGAAAGCAGGGGAUCACUUGUGACCUUGCGCUAAUAGAUGAGCCUAGGUCGGAUUCGCUAGGUGGUGGGGUAAAGGCCUACCAAGGCGACGAUCUGUAGCGGGUCUGAGAGGAUGAUCCGCCACGCUGGGACUGAGACACGGCCCAGACUCCUACGGGAGGCAGCAGUGGGGAAUAUUGGACAAUGGGGGGAACCCUGAUCCAGCCAUGCCGCGUGUGUGAAGAAGGCCUUAUGGUUGUAAAGCACUUUAAGCGAGGAGGAGGCUCUUUUGGUUAAUACCCAAGAUGAGUGGGCGUUACUCGCAGAAUAAGCACCGGCUAACUCUGUGCCAGCCGCCGCCGUAA
rnacentral:rRNA from 1 species